GUCUGUAUGGGGAGUCGCGGCCGAGCCUCACAUGAUGCAGUCUAUUGGGUUGGGUCUACCGGUACCUGGCAACGGUAACUUGCUGUACCCCUAACGUUUACGUUAUUUGGAUGAGAAAGGAGAUGUAUGAGGAUUGAUUUACAUCAUACACUGGUUGCUCUCAGCGCUACGGCAAAUAAUCUGGGGUUCAGAAAAUAGCAAUAAAAACAUCCGUCCUCUGUAGGUCCAUAUUUUCCCAAGAAGAUGCACUGGAACACAGUCAGGUACAGAUCUCGGAACUACAGAAGUCGAAAAUUCCCGAGUUCCAAGUACAAUUGAAUGCAGCAUCAAUCCAUUCAACGCUGAAUAUCGGCAAGGAAAAGUACAAUGUCAAGUGAAAGCGAAAAAAAAAUGGAAGCCCUUCUUCUGCUUGGAGAUGCUUUUAUUGAAGAUUUACAGAAAUCCAAACCAGGGAGUCGGAACGAGGUUUCUGAAUCUCCAUCCGCAGGGGGAUCUAAUGUGACCUGGAGUAAGAGGGACCUUGAUGGGCAACGGGUGUACAGCAGCAAGCGGAAGAAAAGGGAUUCAUCUGCUGUUGGCACACGUCCAUGCGCUAUUCAGACAACUUCAGCACGUCCAAGCUCCCUAGAUCCGGAUUUUAAUUUGCAGAGGCUGAAGGACCUUCUUCAGGACUCGGAGGCGUCGAGGAGGAAGAUGUGGGUCACCAGCCACCAUCCAGUUGGAGCAUGAGACAGAGGGAGGUCGAACAGUGUUGGCAACAGGCGAGGCCACAUAACGUGGACAACUUGUUGUCAGCCCAAACCCUGUACCAGGUGACAUGUAACCACUGUCAAACGAGGGACGCUGUCAUCCGUUGUGGGGAAUGUAUGCCCUUAGAGUGGUUUUGUGCAGAGUGUGAUCAAUUGGCACAUAAACGCCACACUCUGCACAGUAGGCAAACCACCAUGGCUGGGUUUUUACAGUACAUUCCUCCAACGGAGUCUGUGAAACUCGUUGAUGGCAGGUAUAUUGUCAGUGAACAAGGUGAGCAUCUCUUUUUUAAUCGAAUGGCUCUUAUCUUUCCUUCCCAGACAAUAUUAUUACCUCUUGAAAUAUUUUUUUCAAAGUACUUGCGACCCAAACAUUCCUACAUUUCUUCCUGAUUGUCCUUCCAGACUGUUUCCUGCCAACUGCUUUUCCCAAGAGCAUCUGCUCUUGUGAAACAAAUGAUGUUGCCAUCUCCGUUGGUAGAUCAGUGACACUGGUUUGCAUAAAUGGCCGGUAUGAUUUAAGUCUUCCAGUGCUAACAUGCCGACAUUGCAGCAAGCAGUGGGGUCCAGAGGUCUCUGACUUUGUUAGGAGUGGGUACUGGCCCGCUACUAUGCAAGCACAGACCCUGUUCCACCAGGAUCUGUUCAGUUCAUUUGAGGCAAUGAAGACUGCAGCUCCAGGAAUGUCUAGGCAGGCCUUCACUGCAAUGUUGGACCAUAGAACCAAGCAGUUUGGACGAACCGGAAACGUGAAUGCAGACGCUUUUCAGAGGAGCUUCCUGCAGUACGUGUACUGCAAGUCAGAAGAAAGCAAACUUCUGGGGAAGGAUCCUUUCAUCUGUCCAGCCUGUAGCCCUGAAAUGGUUGCUGUUUCAGUUGAUGGCAACAGGAAACUCUACAGGUUCCAAAAAACAAACCAGAGGGAAGAGCCUGGGUUCUUCGAUGGCGUUUUUUUAGCCAAAGACUCUGACGUGUCUACUUUUGUUGAGGAGGUCCGGGGGGCUGUCAAGAGUACUUCAGGAAAAGCAAUGUGCGGAGAAACCCACAGGUCAGCAGCAAGAGAGACAUCUAGACAGAGCAGCAAGUUAGAUGAAGAAGGCGUAGAAGUAGCGGUGUGUCGGCAUGGAUUCCUCCUCAAAGGUCUGAAUAUGUAUCGAGGAGAAAUCUUUGCAUAUCCAAUGUUUCUCCAAAAAGAUCUCCCAGAGCGCAAAGUUUUUGGCAAUGGACGUGACCUGCCGAUACGUGCCUUACAUGAAUAAGGUGUCAGAGGCACUGACUCAUCUCAAACCUCUUCAGGAAAUGAGGCAUUGCCUGUCUGUGAUGCACGCCAAAGCCCACAAUACCAAAUGCGAGAUUCUUUGGAGUGCAAGAAACCAGGAGGGUGUCGGCACCACUCUUGGUGAAGAAGUUGAGCAGAUCAACAGCUAUCUCUCAAGAUGUGCCCUGACCACCAAGUAUAUGGCCAAGUCAGUAAGAAUUGACAUGCUUGCUGUACAUGCCAUGGGGUGGAAUCAGCGCAAAGAGGAUGGCCUUCACAUUGCCCUGUCUUCCAGAUUUAAAAAGACAGUGGAAAAGACCUCUGAAGUUUCUGAGAACCUGAAGAAGCUGCAGGACCAGAUGCAUUGCUGUGAUGGCAUGCUAAAACAGUGGGUUGCUGAUGUCAAGCAGUGGGCCAGUAGCGGAAGUGCAGCAGCUAGUGUUGAUGCUGUUCGGGGUCUGCAGAUCUCGAUCGAAUCGCUCUUCGUGAGCAUACGGCACAAGAAGCAUUUCCUCUACAUCCAUAAUGAUCGCAACAAAAGGCGUCAGAAAGUAACCCAAAAGAUAGCCAAGGAGAAGAAACGGUUGCUAGAGGAGAUUGUUCGGUACAACCAAAAGCCUGAUGUGGACCUGGUGGAUACCAGCUCUGUUGUGCAGAACCUCUCCAGCAAGGCUGAUGAGCGCAUGAUCUGGCCAUGGCAGGAGCAGAACAAAGACGGUGUUGACAUCCUGACCAAGAAGAAGCUAUUUGACCUGCAUAUGCUUGCUUCAAGACUGGCAGAGGAAAAGGAGAUCCUGGUGAAGGAGAUGAUGCAACACUGUCAGUACCUCAAGGAGGCAUGCACCAAAGUCCAGUCCCUGAUGGCCACCAUUUCAGGGAGCAUACAGACAGGAAGCUAUCCGAAUGGCUUCACAGAAAAGGGGUCCAAAGGCCUCAUCUGUGUUCUUCAGAGAAGGUUGAAAGACCUAAAGCUUAAACAGAGGACUGUUGCAGGCGCCUACAGAGGCAUUCUCGAACCAGGUGUCAGACUGGUGGAAGAGGAGGACGGGGAACUGGAGGAAGACAUGGAUUCGCAGAGUGAUGACAGCUCGGAGGAUGAGGAUGAUGGAGAGGAGGUGUAGGGGCUAAUAUGAAUAUAUAGCCAGUUUUUUUGUUUUUUUUAGGUUGCUCAUACUGUUUUGUUUAAUUUCUGUUUAGCUUUUAGACAUUUUCAUCUUUGAUUUUACUUGCCUAACGCCUUAUUUCCAUCUGGGACGUACUCGCGCGGAACGGCUGUGAACCCUGCCCUGCGUCCAUUUCCACCGGGAUGGUAACGGCAGCGUAGCGCUGCCUUGCAAGUAUUCACGCGAGAUGACGUGAUAAUCCUCGUUAUGCAUUGUCCUUAAUGUUGUAUGUUUACUCAUGUGUUGUUCCAUGAAUCAGAAUAAAUGCUUUUUUCCGAAGUUCUUGAAGCUCUUGUAAAAUUGGUUGUUGAUUGUUAUAUUGCUCUUACAAGUACUUUGUUACAGUAGGCUACUUAAAUAGAUGUGAAUGUGAUGGUACACCAGUACAAACAUCUGAGGCUGGUAGGGCUAUAACCUUUCAGUAGUCACUUAAUCACCCCCAGUUAUUUCAAUAAACCAAUGUUAUUAUUUAACUUCACUUUUUGACUUGAUUAACUCAAUAAUUUGGACAAUGAAUUUGUUUAUUAAUAAAAACAUUAAAGGGUUGUUAUAAUGAUUGAAAGUCAUGUUUAACCAUACUAAAGCGUCAAAUAAUGACGUACAUGCAUUUCGACGUAUUCACACACACACACAAACACACACACACAAUGCAUUGUGUGUGUGGCCAAAAUGGAAUAUAUUUUUAUUUGGG
ensembl:lncRNA